GCAAAUUAGUUGUAUAUAUUUCAUUUCAGUAGCACAUCGCAUGAAUUACAAUACAUCAUCCAUCGACUCCUCUACACAUAAAGGUUCAAGGCCCAACAAGUGCACAACAAAAUAGUUCUACAAGUGCAUGUGCACAACAGAAGGGCCCAACAAGGGCAUAAUCACACAUCAACAUAGUUCAACAAAGAUUGGAUGAGAAGCACAAGUUUUUGUUGAUCACACAUAACAUAAAUUAUAAACGAAGCUUCUUGUUCCCUCCUCCUGACCUGUCU
rnacentral:lncRNA from 1 species